ACUCAAAGGAAUAGACGGGGGCUCACACAAGCGGUGGAGCAUGUGGCUUAAUUCGAGGCUACGCGCAGAACCUUAUCCCGGGCUUGACAUGCACGGAUUAGCCGGCGGAAACGUCGGUGAGGCCGCGAGGUACAACGUGCACAGGUGCUGCAUGGCUGUCGUCAGCUCGUGCCGUGAGGUGUUGGGUUAAGUCCCGUAACGAGCGAAACCCCUGCCCCUAGUUGCCAGCGGGUCAUGCCGGGCACUCUAGGGGGACCGCCGGCGUCAAGCCGGAGGAAGGCGGGGACGACGUCAAGUCCUCAUGGCCCUUAUGCCCGGGGCCGCACACGUGCUACAAUGGGCCGGACAGAGCGUCGCCAGUGCGCGAGCACGAGCCAAUCGCCAAAACCGGCCCCCAGUUCGGAUCGCGGGCUGCAACCCGCCCGCGUGAAGCCGGAAUCGCUAGUAAUCGCGGAUCAGCACUGCCGCGGUGAAUGGGUUCCUGAGCCUUGUACACACCGCCCGU
rnacentral:rRNA from 1 species